rnacentral:rRNA from 1 species
GUAGGUUAAAGACACUGUUAGGGUAAAAUCGGCGACUGGGGCUAAGUCGUAACAAGGUAGCCGUACCGGAAGGUGCGGCUGGAACACCUCCUUU